GCUGGUGUCUUUAAUAAAUAUUCUUUGUACGGGCAACCAACUUUUAUAUAAUGACGGUUUUUACUUUUUUUGCUGUUUCGCCUGUACAUUCAAACUAGGACAGUAGGACGCUUUCAAUCCAGUGAAAUAUAAUAAAUAUAUGUUACCGAAUAUAAAAUACUUUAAUCUAAAUAUUGCAUGAAGUAAAACAACUAUCGAUGUCAGGUUAUUUGGAUCAUUUCUAGAAUAGCUAUAAGAAUAUUCUAAGGUGCAAAUUUAGACUAGAGAUGUACGAAUACAUUGCCAAUUUGAUUCAACUUGCCCCGACAAGAUUUUCUCCAGAUUCAAUAAUUAUUAUUAAAUUAAGCACACGACAAUUCAUUUUCCUGGUACCAAUCACAGGACUUUAUUCCCAUAUAGCAGCGUUUCCCAACCUUUUUUGGCCGCGGACUAUUUUCUCACCAGUGAAAACCUUUGCGGAAUCAAGGUGCGUUUAUUGCAACCGUACUCUGUGCGGAGAAGCAAUAAAACCAAACACAACAGAACUUUAACAAAUUUUAAAAUUUUAAAUUCAGGUUGUGCGCCAUCUUGGUGCACAUACUUUUGGAGCUUCUAAAUUUCUUUGAUUUUGCUUAAUAUAUUUUGCGAAAAUAUAUAGCAACUAUUGUCAGGCACUUGCAAAAUUUGACCCCUCAUCACCAGUCCCAAUCGUUUUUGUUUUUUACCAAAAGGACGUCAUUUCAAUCAUAAAAAAUGUGUAUAUUUUAGUUUCUGCUUCAAAGUAAAAUCAUCGGGAAAUAGGUUUUUACGGAGUGCCUGAAAUUUCACAAGUGCCUGAUUUUAGUAUUUUGUGCUUGGGGUUGCCAGAUUUCAUCAUUCAUAUUCAAUCUCAAAUAAAUCCAAAAAGUACGAUGGUUGACCAUAUGUUGUCAAAUGGUAUUGUUCAUUGCAUUAUUAAAAAUGCUCAAAUUGUUGUGGAACAACGAAUUUGCGUUAGAAAGCAAAAAAUAGUAAGUUCUGACGCAAAUAAUUUAAGAAAAUAAUUGCAAAAAAAUAUGGCAACUGUCAACGAGAAAAUUCAGGCACUUGCAAAAUAUGACACGUCUCCAUCAGUUACAAAUGGUAUUGUAUUUUACCAAAAUGUUGUAAAUUCAAUCAUACAAAGUGUGUAUAUUCAAUUUUUUGCUUUAAAGUAAUCAGAUACAUUGUAAAAUAGGUUUUGACCAAGUGCCUGAAACUUCACAAGUGCCUGAUUUCUAUAUUUUGUAAUCAAUGUUGCCACAUUUUACUAUUGAAAAACUAAUUAUACCCUAAUAAACUGAGAAUAAUAUUGUUUUAUUGCGAUAUAGGAAUGCAAAAAAUUUAUUUAAAGUCCAAUUAUUUUGUCAAGUAAAUAUGAAAAUCCAAUGAUGUACAG